AUUGAACGCUGGCGGCAUGCCUUACACAUGUAAGUCGAACGGCAGCGGACCUUCGGGUGCCGGCGAGUGGCGAACGGGUGAGUAAUAUAUCGGAACGUACCUUUCAGUGGGGGAUAACGUAGCGAAAGUUACGCUAAUACCGCAUAUUCUGUGAGCAGGAAAGCAGGGGAUCGCAAGACCUUGCGCUGAUUGAGCGGCCGAUAUCAGAUUAGCUAGUUGGUGAGGUAAAGGCUCACCAAGGCGACGAUCUGUAGCGGGUCUGAGAGGAUGAUCCGCCACACUGGAACUGAGACACGGUCCAGACUCCUACGGGAGGCAGCAGUGGGGAAUUUUGGACAAUGGGCGCAAGCCUGAUCCAGCCAUGCCGCGUGAGUGAAGAAGGCCUCGGUUGU
rnacentral:rRNA from 1 species